rnacentral:misc_RNA from 1 species
UUUCCGUAGGUGAACCUGCGGAAGGAUCAUUACAGUGUUCCCUGCCCUUCGGGGUAGGAUCGCCACCCUUGAUUAUUUAUGAGUGUUGCUUUGGCGGGCCUCGCGGCCUGGCCGCGCCCCGGCUUCGGCGGGGGAGCGCCCGCCAGAGGAUUCUACAAACCUGAUUAUUAGUGUCGUCUGAGUACUAUAUAAUAGUUAAAACUUUCAACAACGGAUCUCUUGGUCCUG